rnacentral:rRNA from 1 species
UCAGUCGACUCCUACGGGGAGGCAGCAGUGGGGGGAAUAUUGCACAAUGGGCGCAAGCCUGAUGCAGCCAUGCCGCGUGUAUGAAGAAGGACCUUCGGGUUGUAAAGUACUUUCAGCAGUGAGGAAGGUGGGGUAUGUUAAUAGCAUACUCAUUUGACGUUAGCUGCAGAAGAAAGCACCGGCUAACUCCGUGCCAGCAGCCGCGGUAAUACGGAGGGUGCGAGCGUUAAUCGGAAUUACUGGGCGUAAAGCGCAUGCAGGUGGUUUGUUAAGUCAGAUGUGAAAGCCCGGGGCUCAACCUCGGAAUUGCAUUUGAAACUGGCAAACUAGAGUACUGUAGAGGGGGGUAGGAAUUUCAGGUGUAGCGGUGAAAUGCGUAGAGAUCUGAAGGAAUACCGGUGGCGAAGGCGGCCCCCUCGGACAGAUACUGACACUCAGAUGCGAAAGCGUGGGGAGCAAACAGGAUUAGAUACCCUGGUAG